UACGUAGGGUGCAAGCGUUGUCCGGAAUUAUUGGGCGUAAAGAGCUCGUAGGCGGUUUGUCGCGUCUGGUGUGAAAAUCCAGGGCUUAACCCUGGACCUGCAUCGGGUACGGGCAGACUAGAGUGCGGUAGGGGAGAUCGGAAUUCCUGGUGUAGCGGUGAAAUGCGCAGAUAUCAGGAGGAACACCGGUGGCGAAGGCGGAUCUCUGGGCCGUAACUGACGCUGAGGAGCGAAAGCAUGGGGAGCGAACAGGAUUAGAUACCCUGGUAGUCCAUGCCGUAAACGUUGGGCGCUAGGUGUGGGGCUCAUUCCACGAGUUCCGUGCCGCAGCAAACGCAUUAAGCGCCCCGCCUGGGGAGUACGGCCGCAAGGCUAAA
rnacentral:rRNA from 1 species